GCUAUUAGUCUGGUAAUGUUGUAUGUGAAUGUUGUGGUUUCAGCAACUCCAUCGACCGUCAUCACAGACGAUCAACGAAGAUGGGUAGUGGGAAACCACAACAUUCACAUACAACAUUGCCAGACUAAUAGC